GCACAACACCACUCAGGCCAAGUCCCAGAAAUACUCCUGAAAAAAAAAAAAAAAACAGAGGAAUGAAUGCCAAAAUGUUAAAACACAGCAGGUAUUAAGAAGCUUAAAGGGCCUAACUCAACAAGACAAACACAAGACUCAAAGUGAAAGGAUGGAAAACUACCAUACAAGCCAACAAACCACAAAAAAGGUCAGGAACAGCUAUUCUCAAUCUGAUCUGAUAGACCUUAAAAUAAACAAAAUUUUAAGAGA